rnacentral:rRNA from 1 species
GACGAAAGAUGGAGGAGGGAGGAACACAGGCAAGUCGAACGGAAAGGCCCUGCUUUUGUGGGGUGCUCGAGUGGCGAACGGGUGAGUAACACGUGAGUAACCUGCCCUUGACUUUGGGAUAACUUCAGGAAACUGGGGCUAAUACCGGAUAGGAGCUCCUGCUGCAUGGGGGGGGUUGGAAAGUUUCGGCGGUUGGGGAUGGACUCGCGGCUUAUCAGCUUGUUGGUGGGGUAGUGGCUUACCAAGGCUUUGACGGGUAGCCGGCCUGAGAGGGUGACCGGCCACAUUGGGACUGAGAUACGGCCCAGACUCCUACGGGAGGCAGCAGUGGGGAAUAUUGCACAAUGGGCGGAAGCCUGAUGCAGCAACGCCGCGUGCGGGAUGACGGCCUUCGGGUUGUAAACCGCUUUCGCCUGUGACGAAGCGUGAGUGACGGUAAUGGGUAAAGAAGCACCGGCUACCUACGUG